rnacentral:rRNA from 1 species
AUGUAACAUAAUGCCUACAACGUUAAUGCAUCAGAUCCCAUUAGAAUUCCAUAAUUAAAUGUGCUUGGGAAAUAUUAGUAUUGGGAUGGGUGACCUCCCUAUAAGUCCUAACGUUUUACAUU